CACGUAGAGUGCGAGCGUUGUCCGGAAUUAUUGGGCGUAAAGAGCUCGUAGGCGGUGUGUCGCGUCGGCCGUGAAAACCUGCAGCUUAACUGUGGGCUUGCGGUCGAUACGGGCAUCACUGGAGUUCGGCAGGGGAGACUGGAAUUCCUGGUGUAGCGGUGAAAUGCGCAGAUAUCAGGAGGAACACCGGUGGCGAAGGCGGAUCUCUGGGCCUUACCUGACGCUGAGGCGCGAAAGCUAGGGGAGCGAACAGG
rnacentral:rRNA from 1 species